rnacentral:rRNA from 1 species
UUAAAAAGCUCGUAGUUGGAUUUCUGUUAUUAAAAAUCGGUCGUGUCCUCACGGAUUCUGUACCAGGUUUCUUAAUUGCAUCUUCAAGGAUCUGGUAUCUGGUAUUAAUUUAUCGGGUAUUCGGUCCUUGUCAUUUACUGUGAGCAAAAUAGAGUGUUCAAAGCAGGCUUAGGCCAUGAAUACAUUAGCAUGGAAUAAUAAGAUAAGACCUUGGUCUAUUUUGUUGGUUUACAUUCCAAGGUAAUGAUUAAUAGGGAUAGUUGGGGGUAUUUGUAUUCAAUUGUCAGAGGUGAAAUUCUUGGAUUUAUGGAAGACAAACUACUGCGAAAGCAUUUACCAAGGAUGUUUUCAUUAAUCAAGAACGAAAGUUAGGGGAUCGAAGAUGAUUAGAUACCAUCGUAGUCUUAACCAUAAACUAUGCCGACUAGGGAUUGGUGGAGUAUACAAAAGCUCCAUCAGCACCUUAUGAGAAAUCCAAGUCUUUGGGUUCCGGGGGG